rnacentral:ncRNA from 1 species
UCCGCCGAAGGGCGGGUGAAAAGGGAAACCGGUGCAGAUCCGGUGCAACAGCCAUUACUGUGAGCGUUCAAACGCGGCGAGCGCCAUCGGCGACGAGAAGGCGGCCGCAUCCCGUGCAUCCCGUUCGGGAACGCAAGCCAGGAGACCUGCUCGGUG